rnacentral:rRNA from 1 species
GAUGAACGCUGGCUACAGGCUUAACACAUGCAAGUCGUGGGGAAACGGCAUUAUGUGCUUGCACAUUCUGGACGUCGACCGGCGCACGGGUGAGUAUCGCGUAUCCAACCUGCCCCUUACUUGGGGAUACCCCGUUGAAAGGCGGCCUAAUACCCGAUGUGUUUCAUUGACGGCAUCCGAUAUGAAACAAAGGUUUUCCGGUAAGGGAUGGGGAUGCGUCUGAUUAGCUUGUUGGCGGGGCAACGGCCCACCAAGGCGACGAUCAGUAGGGGUUCUGAGAGGAAGGUCCCCCACAUUGGAACUGAGACACGGUCUAAACUCCUACGGGAGGCAGCAGUGAGGAAUAUUGGUCAAUGGACGCAAGUCUGAACCAGCCAAGUAGCGUGCAGGAUGACGGCCCUAUGGGUUGUAAACUGCUUUUAUGUGGGAAUAAAGUGGCGCACGUGUGCGCCAUUGCAUGUACCUCAUGAAUAAGGACCGGCUAAUUCCGUGCCAGCAGCCGCGGUAAUACGGAAGGUCCGGGCGUUAUCCGGAUUUAUUGGGUUUAAAGGGAGUGUAGGCGGUCUGUUAAGCGUGCUGUGAAAUUUAGGUGCUCAACAUUUAACUUGCAGCGCGAACUGUCAGACUUGAGUACACGCAGCGCAGGCGGAAUUCAUGGUGUAGCGGUGAAAUGCUUAGAUAUCAUGAGGAACUCCGAUCGCGAAGGCAGCCUGCGGGAGUGUUACUGACGCUUAAGCUCGAAGGUGCGGGUAUCGAACAGG